GCUUGUGUGGCGCAAUUUUCUAGCGCUUAAGACUGUUGAUCUUGAGACUGCUGGUUUGAUCCCAGCCACAAGCG